UACGUAGGUGGCAAGCGUUGUCCGGAAUUAUUGGGCGUAAAGCGCGCGCAGGCGGUCUCUUAAGUCUGAUGUGAAAGCCCACGGCUCAACCGUGGAGGGUCAUUGGAAACUGGGAGACUUGAGUACAGAAGAGGAGAGUGGAAUUCCACGUGUAGCGGUGAAAUGCGUAGAUAUGUGGAGGAACACCAGUGGCGAAGGCGACUCUCUGGUCUGUAACUGACGCUGAGGCGCGAAAGCGUGGGGAGCAAACAGGAUUAGAUA
rnacentral:rRNA from 1 species